AAGCAAAUAAACAAGGCAGCAAAUCACAAUGAGGCUACUAAAACAGGAAGGCAGUGAGGAAGCACUAAGAAGCUAUCGGGAAAAAAAUAAAA